GAUGAACGCUGGCGGCGUGCCUAAUACAUGCAAGCCGAACGCUUCACUUCGGUGAAGAGUGGCGAACGGGUGAGUAAUACAUAAGUAACCUGGCAUCUACAGGGGGAUAACUGAUGGAAACGUCAGCUAAGACCGCAUAGGUGUAGAGAUCGCAUGAACUCUAUAUGAAAAGUGCUACGGGACUGGUAGAUGAUGGACUUAUGGCGCAUUAGCUGGUUGGUAGGGUAACGGCCUACCAAGGCGACGAUGCGUAGCCGACCUGAGAGGGUGACCGGCCACACUGGGACUGAGACACGGCCCAGACUCCUACGGGAGGCAGCAGUAGGGAAUUUUCGGCAAUGGGGGAAACCCUGACCGAGCAACGCCGCGUGAAGGAAGAAGUAAUUCGUUAUGUAAACUUCUGUCAUAGAGGAAGAACGGUGGAUAUAGGGAAUGAUAUCCAAGUGACGGUACUCUAUAAGAAAGCCACGGCUAACUACGUGCCAGCAGCCGCAGUAACAC
rnacentral:rRNA from 1 species